UGGGGAAUAUUGCACAAUGGGGGAAACCCUGAUGCAGCGACGCCGCGUGAGUGAAGAAGUAUUUCGGUAUGUAAAGCUCUAUCAGCAGGGAAGAAGAAAGACGGUACCUGACUAAGAAGCCCCGGCUAACUACGUGCCAGCAGCCGCGGUAAUACGUAGGGGGCAAGCGUUAUCCGGAUUUACUGGGUGUAAAGGGAGCGCAGACGGCAAUGCAAGUCUGAAGUGAAAGCCCGGGGCUCAACCCCGGUACUGCUUUGGAAACUGUAUAGCUAGAGUACUGGAGAGGCAAGUGGAAUUCCUAGUGUAGCGGUGAAAUGCGUAGAUAUUAGGAGGAACACCAGUGGCGAAGGCGGCUUGCUGGACAGUAACUGACGUUGAGGCUCGAAAGCGUGGGGAGCAAACAGGAUUAGAUACCC
rnacentral:rRNA from 1 species